AGUCUUAUAGUCAAUUAUGAUUUUAAAUUGCAAAUUUAAAGGUAAAUUAGUUUUAAGGCUU
rnacentral:tRNA from 1 species